AGCGAACGCUGGCGGCAGGCCUAACACAUGCAAGUCGAACGAACUCUUCGGAGUUAGUGGCGGACGGGUGAGUAACACGUGGGAACGUGCCUUUAGGUUCGGAAUAACUCAGGGAAACUUGUGCUAAUACCGCAUGUGCCCUUCGGGGGAAAGAUGUAUCGCCUUUAGAGCGGCCCGCGUCUGAUUAGCUAGUUGGUGAGGUAAAGGCUCACCAAGGCGACGAUCAGUAGCUGGUCUGAGAGGAUGAUCAGCCACAUUGGGAAUGAGACACGGCCCAAACUCCUACGGGAGGCAGCAGUGGGGAAUCUUGCGCAAUGGGCGAAAGCCUGACGCAGCCAUGCCGCGUGAAUGAUGAAGGUCUUAGGAUUGUAAAAUUCUUUCACCGGGGACGAUAAUGACGGUACCCGGAGAAGAAGCCCCGGCUAACUUCGUG
rnacentral:rRNA from 1 species